GGAAAGUACACAUUAAAAAAAAAAAAAAAUUCACUUGGGAAACAAGGAUUUCCAAAAGGAGACAUGGAAAUAUUCAGGGAAAUGAAUAUUUUGUUAAUUUUUCUGAGUUGAACUGGCUCAUCAUUGAUGACGAAAAAGAAAAAGCGAGCUAAAGAAGAAUCUAACAACUAGAAUAAGAGGUGUCUGGUGACCUAAGAGAUACAAUUUUUUUCAAGGAGAGAAGAGUGUGUUUGCCCACUUGCCACUCUCUGUGCCCACGUGUGAGAUGUU